rnacentral:rRNA from 1 species
UGCCUACAAACAGAUGGAGCCUGAAAGGGUGACAUCGUACCUUUUGUAUAAUGGGUCAGCGACUUAGUGUAUCGAGCAAGCUUAAGCCGGUAGGUGUAGGCGCAGCGAAAGCGAGUCUGAACAGGGCGUUCAGUUCGAUGCAUUAGACCCGAAACCGAGUGAUCUAGCCAUGAGCAGGUUGAAGGUGAGGUAACACUCACUGGAGGACCGAACCCAUAACUGUUGCAAUAGUUCGGGAUGACUUGUGGCUAGGGGUGAAAGGCCAAUCAAACUCGGAAAUAGCUGGUUCUCCGCGAAAUCUAUUUAGGUAGAGCGUCGACCGAAUACCCUGGGGGGUAAAGCACUGCAUGGGCUAGGGGUCCUCACCGGAUUACCAAACCUAAGCAAACUCUGAAUACCCAGGAG